AAGGAUCCCUCUGUUUUUUUAUCCUCUUUAUGGAAGCACUAUAUUUUUAUGGAAGAGCUGAACUUUUUUGUUUGGAUCUUUCUUGAGCUUUGAUAUUAGUUUAUCUCUGUCCUGAUUUUAAAGUUUGUUCAGCUUUGUGAAAGCACUAUCAUCCUACUCUCCCUAGCCAUAAAACCUAUUGUGAAGAAAUCUAUUUAGGUUGUCAAAUUCCACUGUAGUUUUUCUAAGUUUGUCCUCGUAUUGUUUCCUGAAUCCAUGCCAAAGAAAAUUGUACAUAGAUUGAUACUUAUCGGUUGAAACUUGCCUAACAUGAUUGCUGGAUGUUUUGUUAGUGAUGAAUCUUGUAAGCUACAGUAUUGACUAUUGAUUAUGACGUUUGGAUGCCAUUUUCUUUCAAAUAUUUUAUGCAGGAAGCACAUGAGGAAUCAAGGGAAAUAACAAAGGGUUCUGCCAUGAAAGGUUAGCAGUAUUCUUGCAUGUCUCUCAUACCGUCAUAGUUUCAGUAAAAGCUGCUGAGAAAACAAAUGAUGAGGUCUGUGCUUAUAUAUUUUUGUUUAUCACUUUGCUAUUGAGAAUAUAUAAAAUAAAAGCCGAUUCUUUAAUAACCAAAUCUUGGUUAUACGGUCUUGAACUUAGAUCUCAUGAUGGAUGCUAUUAUCAUCUGUAGCCAUCAAAGAGCGAAUGGAGAGAAACGUUGCUGAAGUUGGAAGAAUUGCUCAUUUUGUAGAGGGGAAAAUUGAUGAACGGGACAGAGAUAAUUUAGCCAAUAGGCAGAAGCCUAGAUGUGGAAAAGGAACAAGUGUCGAUCGGUCAAGAACAGCAACAACUGUUGCCUUGAAAAAGAAGUUGAAAGGCAAACUAGCUGAGUUUCAGGUU